CUGAGGCUCGAAAGCAUGGGUAGCGAACAGGAUUAGAUACCCUGGUAGUCCAUGCCGUAAACGAUGAGCGCUAGGUGUUGGGGACUUUCCGGUCCUCAGUGCCGCAGCAAACGCAUUAAGCGCUCCGCCUGGGGAGUACGACCGCAAGGUUGAAACUCAAAGGAAUUGACGGGGGCCCGCACAAGCGGUGGAGCAUGUGGUUUAAUUCGAAGCAACGCGAAGAACCUUACCAGGUCUUGACAUCCUGCGCUACACCUAGAGAUAGGUGGUUCCCUUCGGGGACGCAGAGACAGGUGGUGCAUGGCUGUCGUCAGCUCGUGUCGUGAGAUGUUGGGUUAAGUCCCGCAACGAGCGCAACCCUUGUCUUUAGUUGCCAUCAUUAAGUUGGGCACUCUAAAGAGACUGCCGGUGACAAACCGGAGGAAGGUGGGGAUGACGUCAAGUCAUCAUGCCCCUUAUGACCUGGGCUACACACGUGCUACAAUGGGCAGUACAACGAGAAGCGAACCCGCGAGGGUAAGCGGAUCUCUUAAAGCUGUUCUCAGUUCGGACUGCAGGCUGCAACUCGCCUGCACGAAGCUGGAAUCGCUAGUAAUCGCGGAUCAGCACGCCGCGGUGAAUACGUUCCCGGGCCUUGUACACACCGCCCGUCACACCAUGGAAGUCUGCAAUGCCCAAAGUCGGUGGGAUAACCUUUAUAGGAGU
rnacentral:rRNA from 1 species